GUGUGUGUGUGUAUGUAUGUGUGUGUGUGUGUGUGUGUGUGUGUAUGUGUGUGUUUGUGUAUACACGUCUGCAUUUUUCAGGAGUGAGGAUAUUUGCAUAACAGGUAUCUUUGCAGAUACCAGACAAACAGGAAGUUUCAGAACCUAUGCCAUUUCCUUUCACUGUGAAUCAGCAGCCUCUUUCUUCUCAUACAGAAAUGAUGAAAUCACAGGGUAUGGCCCCGGAAUGUGAAGACCAGGAGAAGAGCACUAAGCCUUCAUAGUCACCUUCUUUGUAGUGCUCACUGGCCACUCCUCCAGGAGUAACUCCGGGACACAGUGGACAUACAGGCUCAGCACCAAGGUCUAGAGUCGGACAGCCUGACUUUUCAUCCAGGCUCUGCUCAGACAAGCUGUUUGAUCUCAGGAGCCCCAUAAAGCAAGAACUAUUAUGAGCCCAUUUCACAGAUGAGUAAGGGGAGACCUGGGACUUCGGCCCAGAUCCACUGCACCCAGGGCCUGUGAGCUUCCCCACUGCACCCUCUGGCCUCCCUUCUCAGCCCUGCUGCUUCUCACUCGUCUCCUGCCGGGAGAGACAAGGUCCAGGGGGAGGCAAGGUCCAUGGGGCUGAGGAACUCAUGGCCAGAGUGUGGGCGGCUGAAUCGGCCAAACUCCAGAAUGCAAACCCACCUGGCUUUCUGGGCAGGUCAGGAUUCUGGGGCUGGCAUCCCACUGCCUCCCUGUCAGUCAGUGCGGAUGCAUGGUAACUCUCCCGUUAGCACAAAUGAAAAAAUCAGGAUGACUUCUGAAGCUGUGUGACGGCUCUGGUUUAGCCACUCGAACUAUUAAAUUUAGGCUUUGGGGACUGAAGUUAGCAGAAAGUACAGAGUUCCUGUAUACUUCCUCCCUCCCCUCGUCAGUUUCCUCUAUUAUUAACACCUUGUAUUAGGGUGGUACAUUUGUUACAAUUGAUGAACCAAUAUUGAUACAUUAUUACUAACUAAAGUCCGUAGUUUACAUCAAGGUUCACU
rnacentral:lncRNA from 1 species